CACUUAAUAUUGAAAUUAUCCCAAUACUCUUAUAUUUAUCCUUUUCCCGCCCAUGUUUCAUUUUCCAAUUCAAUUUUGAAACAUUCAUACCCUGCUUCUCUCUUUUCCCUAUUUCAUCAUCUCUCCUCCAAAAUUCUUAAUUCCAUCCCUACUCUUUGUAUUGUUGUCUCACUACUCCUUCGACCUCGCCGCUAGAUCCAUCUACGUUCUCAA
rnacentral:lncRNA from 1 species